CACCACAUAAUGAGAGUAGCGCACUGGUGAGUAACACGUGGGAACAUACCUUGAAGUGGGGGACAACAGAGGGAAACUUCUGCUAAUACCGCAUAAUCCCUGAGGGGAAAGAUUUAUCGCUUUAAGAUUGGCCCGCGGAAGAUUAGGUAGUUGGUGGGGUAAAGGCCUACCAAGCCGACGAUCUAUAGCUGGUCUGAGAGGACGAACAGCCACAUUGGAACUGAGACACGGUCCAGACUCCUACGGAAGGCAGCAG
rnacentral:rRNA from 1 species